UGUUUGUUUAUUUGAUCUUACCCGGUUGUGAGACGGGACGUGAAGUCAACCAAGUACAUGUGUGUUCAUAGUGUCCCCGGCACCUUCCUCCUAGCUGAGUAUGGAUGCUGAAGUUAGCUGGAGUGUGGGGCGAGUGCGUGGUAGAUGGAACUCCUAUUUACCGCAUUUCUUCUUGCACUUCCAACUUGAAGAGGAAGAAGCAUCUCUCUUUGCAUCUUCAAUAGAUAGGAAAAAGGAUCUUGACCUGAAGCCUUCGACCAAAGAAAGGGAGACUUGGCGAAGUCAGAGGUGGUUUUCCUUCCCUAGAUUCAUGGAAGGACUUUUUGAAGUUUGAGUGAGGAAGGAAAGUAAGGAAAGCGGGAAAGGUCCGAUACAAAGGAAAGGGUUGCGAGGCUUAACGAUUUAGAAUAUAGC
rnacentral:lncRNA from 1 species